GCGCGCGAAGUCGUAAGCGUCGUCGUCAGCGGUUAGCCCUAAAAAGCGUUUCCGCGCGACACGCCCGGCCCGCGCGCGGCCCAACUUUAAAUCCCACCGCGGUGCUCUUCACUGAGUGUCGAGGUGGGACGGCACGUUUACUUUGAACAAAAUUAGAGUGCUUAAAAGCAGGCCAAAAAUUCGCCUGAAUAUUCUGUGCAUGGAAUAAUGGAAUAGGACCUCGGUUCUAUUUUGUUGGUUUUCGGAACCCCGAGGUAAUGAUUAAUAGGAACGGAUGGGGGCAUUCGUAUUGCGACGUUAGAGGUGAAAUUCUUGGAUCGUCGCAAGACGGACAGAAGCGAAAGCAUUUGCCAAAAACGCUUUCAUUGAUCAAGAACGAAAGUUAGAGGUUCGAAGGCGAUCAGAUACCGCCCUAGUUCUAACCAUAAACGAUGCCAGCUAGCGAUCCGCCGACGUUCCUCCGAUGACUCGGCGGGCAGCUUCCGGGAAACCAAAGCUUUUGGGUUCCGGGGGAAGUAUGGUUGCAAAGCUGAAACUUAAAGGAAUUGACGGAAGGGCACCACCAGGAGUGGAGCCUGCGGCUUAAUUUGACUCAACACGGGAAACCUCACCAGGCCCGGACACCGGGAGGAUUGACAGAUUGAGAGCUCUUUCUUGAUUCGGUGGGUGGUGGUGCAUGGCCGUUCUUAGUUGGUGGAGCGAUUUGUCUGGUUAAUUCCGAUAACGAACGAGACUCUAGCCUGCUAAAUAGGCGUACUUUCGACAUCCCAAAGGCCCGUCGUCCGGUAGCGCCGCUCGCGCCUCGCGCGCGACGUCGCCCGGGCGUUCGCGGUUUUUACUGUCGGCGUACAAUUUAUUCUUCUUAGAGGGACAGGCGGCUUCUAGCCGCACGAGACUGAGCAAUAACAGGUCUGUGAUGCCCUUAGAUGUUCUGGGCCGCACGCGCGCUACACUGAAGGAAUCAGCGUGUCCUCCCUGGCCGAACGGCCCGGGUAACCCGCUGAACCUCCUUCGUGCUAGGGAUUGGGGCUUGCAAUUCUUCCCCAUGAACGAGGAAUUCCCAGUAAGCGCGAGUCAUAAGCUCGCGUUGAUUACGUCCCUGCCCUUUGUACACACCGCCCGUCGCUACUACCGAUUGAAUGAUUUAGUGAGGUCUUCGGACUGGUACUCGAUGGCGUUUCGACGUCGCCG
rnacentral:rRNA from 1 species